GCCUCCGCUACCCAACGCGGACAUUUUUCAAAGGAUUCCCGCAAAAUGCCGGAAAGCCCCGCAAUCCUCAGGUCUGCUGGGGAGGANCGACACCCAGUGCUUUCCAGGGGAGGGGUACAUUCCUUCCGAAAAUACUACGCUAUCAAGUGUAUCCCCUCCGGAGAUGUCCUUGCAGACUCCAGGGGCAGAGGAAAUUUCCCGCUAAAUCUGCACAGAACCGCCCGCCCGGUAAGCACGGAGCAGCAGCACGACCCACAGCUCUCAUCGGGAAAACGCAUAUUCAUAAAAAAUAAACCCUACAUACCAUGCAACGACAGGAAAAGCCACUUUAACUAUCCCCGUCUCCAUCUGCCCUUCUCCACACCGCCCGUCGCUACU
rnacentral:rRNA from 1 species